GGCCAAGUCCCUUGGAAAAGGGCAGCAGAGAGGGUGAGACUCCCGUCCGCCUGGUGGAGCGAGUUGCGUGUCGACGAGUCGAGUUGUUUGGGAUUGCAGCUCAAAUUGGGUGGUAAAUUCCAUCUAAGGCUAAAUAUUGGUGGGAGACCGAUAGCGUACAAGUACCGUGAGGGAAAGAUGCAAAGAACUUUGAAAAGAGAGUUAAAGAGUACCUGAAAUUGCUGAAAGGUAAGCAAAGGAAAC
rnacentral:rRNA from 1 species